rnacentral:rRNA from 1 species
UACGUAGGUGGCGAGCGUUGUCCGGAUUUAUUGGGCGUAAAGCGCGUGCAGGUGGUUGGUUAAGGCCGAUGUAAAAUCUCCCGGCUCACCUGGGAGGGCGCGUUGGCGACUGGCCGACUGGAGGCAGGUAGAGGCCGGUGGAAUUCCCGGUGUAGUGGUGAAAUGCGUAGAUAUCUGGAGGAACAUCGGUGGCGAAGGCGGCAUCCUGGACCGGUAUUGACGCUGAGGCGCGAAAGCCAGGGGAGCAAACGGG